UACGAAGGGGACUAGCGUUGUUCGGAAUCACUGGGCGUAAAGCGCACGUAGGCGGAUGUGUCAGUCAGGGGUGAAAUCCCGGGGCUCAACCUCGGAACUGCCUUUGAUACAGCACGUCUCGAGUCCGGAAGAGGUGGGUGGAAUUCCUAGUGUAGAGGUGAAAUUCGUAGAUAUUAGGAAAAACACCGGUGGCGAAGGCGGCCCACUGGUCCGGUACUGACGCUGAGGUGCGAAAGCGUGGGGAGCAAACAGG
rnacentral:rRNA from 1 species